rnacentral:rRNA from 1 species
GGGUUGUGAGGUUAAGCGACUAAGCGUACACGGUGGAUGCCCUGGCAGUCAGAGGCGAUGAAGGACGUGCUAAUCUGCGAUAAGCGCCGGUAAGGUGAUAUGAACCGUUAUAACCGGCGAUUUCCGAAUGGGGAAACCCAGUGUGACUCGUCACACUAUCAUUAACUGAAUCCAUAGGUUAAUGAGGCGAACCGGGGGAACUGAAACAUCUAAGUACCCCGAGGAAAAGAAAUCAACCGAGAUUCCCCCAGUAGCGGCGAGCGAACGGGGAGGAGCCCAGAGCCUGAAUCAGCAUGUGUGUUAGUGGAAGCGUCUGGAAAGGCGCGCGAUACAGGGUGACAGCCCCGUACACAAAAGCGCAUGUGCUGUGAGCUCGAUGAGUAGGGCGGGACACGUGGUAUCCUGUCUGAAUAUGGGGGGACCAUCCUCCAAGGCUAAAUACUCCUGACUGACCGAUAGUGAACCAGUACCGUGAGGGAAAGGCGAAAAGAACCCCGGCGAGGGGAGUGAAAAAGAACCUGAAACCGUG